AACGAACGCUGGCGGCAGGCUUAACACAUGCAAGUCGAGCGCCCUCUUCGGAGGGAGCGGCAGACGGGUGAGUAACACGUGGGAAUCUACCCAUCUCUAGGGAAUAACUCAGGGAAACUU
rnacentral:rRNA from 1 species